GCAUCUCUCUUCAUGUGCCCAUGAUAUUCAUUAUCUGUUUUCUAAUCUUCAAAAUAAAAAGGAUAAAGAAUACAAAUAAUCACAGCUCUGGUCAAAAUCUUUCCUUUGAGAAACCAAAGAAAGAGAAGCCCAUGGAGCCAGACCCCAAGAAAGAGAAUAUUCUCAAUCACAAUGAGAAGGAAAUUUGUUUGACUGGGCUGAACAUUUUUGUUCCAAGAGCUUUUUCUUCUUUUUUCAUUGGUUUGGGAGGAUAGUAAGGAAAGAAGCUGAAAUACUUUUUUUUGGUCUUUUCCUCAUGCAGAAUCAAACAUAUAUUUUUCAGAUACAGAUGAAAUACAGUGACACAUGCAGGUGUUUAUUUUACUUGGUUAUGUGAAUUUGUUUCAAAAAGAUGUUUUUUAAUUGUAAGGAUGGGAAGCAGAGAAAAUAGAUGAUUGUUAAUUGAAAAAAAGAGUAAAAUAGAAUUUUAAAAAUCAAAGGAGAGUUGAAGCAUAUUUUAAAAGUAAAGAUUGCUGAAGUAUGUUUUUUAAAAGCAAAGCCAAAAAUGACAUAAGCCUUACAGAUAAGCCUCAAAACUAAAGAAAAUAAUUGAAUAUUCAGUGAAAAGAAAGAAUUUGAAUACUUUCUUCAAAAGAAUCCAGGGAUGAGAGGGGCAUUCAACACGUAAAUUGAUCAAGCUGAAGAAAGUUAAGUCCUUUCAGAUAGAGGUAAGAGUAAGAAAUGAAAUGUUUUCCCAUCCAAGAGAGAUAAGGACAUGAGUUUGGAGUAGAAAAGUAUUGCUGCUUCUUUCUUUGCUUUUCCUUUAGAAAAAAAAAAGCUUCACACACUGUCUGGGAGGCUUUGCAAAGGCAAGGAAGGUUACAGUUGGCUAACAAAUCUGAGGAAUAGUAGAGGAAAUAGGAAGAGAAGUUAACUUCAGGGCCAAAAAAGCUUAUCCUCUCAUUGACAAACAAAUAUUGUUUGUGGGAAAAUAGAGCGGAAUUCCCCUGGGUUAGGGAGAAAAGGAGGUGCUACAGAAAGGCCUGUGUAGUCUAGUCAUGACUUAAGAGAAGUGUACAAGAAACCUUCAAUCCCCACACAGAUACACACAUCUGUAUCAAGAUCAUGAAUUCCAUGAAGCCAUCUUUGAAUCAGGAAGAUUUAUUAAUGACCUGGGAAGGCCGGGCAUCCCGCAUGUGUAAGAGCACACAUGUGACAGCACAGGAAUUGACAAAUGCACACCUUUUUAUUCCCUAUUCCUCACUUUCCCCCAAUUUCCCUUAUUCCCCAGUUUCCUUCUCCUGUCUCCCUAUUUGCUGGGUACUGUAGAGGUUAAUUUCCCCAAGUCUCCGCCCCUAAUUGCAUCUCCCAUUUCCCGCAAUUCAGGAAACCUGGCCCUUACUUGGGAACACCCCUUUUGAUGUUAAAUAUCUAAUCUUAGAAGUGGUUUCCCAUCUGUUAAUCUAUUCACCACCAAGAGUGUUUUCUUUAACUCCUUUUGUUCAACUUCCACUUAGCCCCCAGACUGCAUUCCUUUCCACUUGACUUUUGUGGAAAUAAAAAAAAAUUAAAAAAGCA
rnacentral:lncRNA from 1 species